GCUGCAUGGCUGUGUCAGCUCGUGUCGUGAGAUGUUGGGUUAAGUCCCGCAACGAGCGCAACCCUUGUCAUUAGUUGCCAUCAUUUGGUUGGGCACUCUAAUGAGACUGCCGGUGACAAACCGGAGGAAGGUGGGGGAUGACGUCAAGUCCUCAUGGCCCUUAUGGGUAGGGCUUCACACGUCAUACAAUGGUCGGUACAGAGGGUUGCCAACCCGCGAGGGGGAGCUAAUCCCACAAAGCCGAUCGUAGUCCGGAUCGCAGUCUGCAACUCGACUGCGUGAAGUUGGAAUCGCUAGUAAUCGCAGAUCAGCACGCUGCGGUGAAUACGUUCCCGGGCCUU
rnacentral:rRNA from 1 species